GAUGAACGCUGGCGGCGUGCCUAAUACAUGCAAGUCGAGCGAACGGACGAGAAGCUUGCUUCUCUGAUGUUAGCGGCGGACGGGUGAGUAACACGUGGAUAACCUACCUAUAAGACUGGGAUAACUUCGGGAAACCGGAGCUAAUACCGGAUAAUAUUUUGAACCGCAUGGUUCAAAAGUGAAAGACGGUCUUGCUGUCACUUAUAGAUGGAUCCGCGCUGCAUUAGCUAGUUGGUAAGGUAACGGCUUACCAAGGCAACGAUGCAUAGCCGACCUGAGAGAGGGAUCGGCCGCACUGGAACUGAGACGCGGACCAGACUACUACGGGAGGCAGCAGUAGGGAAUCUUACGCAAUGGGCGAAAGCCUGACGGAGCAACGCCGCGUGAGUGAUGAAGGUCCUCGGAUCGUAAAACUCUGUUAUUAGGGAAGAACAUAUGUGUAAGUAACUGUGCACAUCUUGACGGUACCUAAUCAGAAAGCCACGGCUAACUACGUG
rnacentral:rRNA from 1 species